CACCUCUCAAGCGUAGCUUGGUAUUGGGCCUCGCCACCCCCCGUGGGUCGGCGUGCCUGAAAAGCAGUGGCGGUCCGGCGCGACCUUGAACGUAGUAGAUUUCUCCCCGUUCUGAAGGCUUCGCGUCGUGGCUUGCCAGGAAACACCCACAUUUUCUGAA
rnacentral:misc_RNA from 1 species